rnacentral:ncRNA from 1 species
UUGCGUUUAGGUUUAAUUUUAGUUUGUUUUACUACUGCUAAUACCCCCGUAGGUUGAGGAGCAAAAGGAGGAAUCACCUCGAGGAGGGGCUCAAGUUUGAUUAGCUAGUUGGUGAGACAAUAGCUGGUCCGAGAGGAUGAUCAACCACAUUGGGACUGAGACAUGACCCAGACUCCUACAGGAGGCAGCAGUGAGAAUUUUUUGCAAUGGGCGAAAGCCUGACGGAGCAAUGCCGCGUGGAGGUAGAAGGCCCAUGGGUUGUGAACUUCUUUUCCUGAAGAAGAAGCAAUGAUGGUAUUUGGGAAAUAAGCAUCGGCUAACUCUGUGCCAACAACCACGAUAAUACAGAGGAUGCAA